AACGAACGCUGGCGGCGUGCCUAACACAUGCAAGUCGAACGAGACCUUCGGGUCUAGUGGCGCACGGGUGCGUAACGCGUGGGAACCUGCCCUUAGGUUCGGAAUAACUCCCCGAAAGGGGUGCUAAUACCGGAUAAUGUCUUCGGACCAAAGAUUUAUCGCCUUUGGAUGGGCCCGCGUUGGAUUAGCUAGUUGGUAGGGUAAAAGCCUACCAAGGCGACGAUCCAGAGCUGGUCUGAGAGGAUGAUCAGCCACACUGGGACGGAGACACGGCCCCUACUCCUACGGGAGGCAGCAGUGGGGAAUAUUGGACAAUGGGCGAAAGCCUGAUCCAGCACUGCCGCGUGAGUGAUGAAGGCCUUAGGGUUGUAAAGCUCUUUUACCCGGGAUGAUAAUGACAGUACCGGGAGAAUAAGCUCCGGCUACCUCCGU
rnacentral:rRNA from 1 species